rnacentral:rRNA from 1 species
GAAGAAGCCCCGGCCAAUUACGUGCCAGCAGCCGCGGUAACACGUAGGGGGCGAGCGUUGUUCGGAAUUACUGGGCGUAAAGGGUGCGUAGGCGGUUCAGCAAGCCAGAGGUGAAAUCCCCCGGCCCAACCGGGGAGCUGCCUUGGGAACUGCUGGUCUGGAGUUCGGGAGAGGGAAGUGGAAUUCCAGGUGUAGGGGUGAAAUACGUAGAUAUCAGGAAGAACACCGAUGGCGAAGGCGGGUUUUUGGUCAGGGACUGGCGCUGAGGCGCGAAAGCGUGGGGAGCGAACAGGAUUAGAUACCCCGGUAGUCC